rnacentral:rRNA from 1 species
CGCCAGACUCCUACGGGAGGCAGCAGUGGGGAAUAUUGCACAAUGGGGGAAACCCUGAUGCAGCGACGCCGCGUGAGUGAAGAAGUAUUUCGGUAUGUAAAGCUCUAUCAGCAGGGAAGAAAAAAGACGGUACCUGACUAAGAAGCCCCGGCUAACUACGUGCCAGCAGCCGCGGUAAUACGUAGGGGGCAAGCGUUAUCCGGAUUUACUGGGUGUAAAGGGAGCGUAGACGGUAUGGCAAGUCUGAAGUGAAAGCCCGGGGCUUAACCCUGGGACUGCUUUGGAAACUGUUAGACUAGAGUGCUGGAGAGGUAAGUGGAAUUCCUAGUGUAGCGGUGAAAUGCGUAGAUAUUAGGAGGAACACCAGUGGCGAAGGCGGCUUACUGGACAGUAACUGACGUUGAGGCUCGAAAGCGUGGGGAGCAAACAGGAUUAGAUACCCCCGUA